UGCGUAGGCGGUUAUAUUAGUCGAUUGUUAAAUCCUGGGGCUCAACCCCAGACUCGCAUUCGAAACGGUAUAACUAGAAGAUGUGAGAGGUGAACGGAACUCAAGGUGUAGGGGUGAAAUCCGUUGAUAUCUUGGGGAACACCAAAUGCGAAGGCAGUUCACUGGCACAUUCUUGACGCUGAGGCACGAAAGCGUGGGUAGCGAACG
rnacentral:rRNA from 1 species